GGGUUGUGAGGUUAAGCGACUAAGCGUACACGGUGGAUGCCUAGGCAGUCAGAGGCGAUGAAGGGCGUGCUAAUCUGCGAAAAGCGUCGGUAAGCUGAUAUGAAGCGUUAUAACCGACGAUACCCGAAUGGGGAAACCCAGUGCAAUACGUUGCACUAUCGUUAGAUGAAUACAUAGUCUAACGAGGCGAACCGGGGGAACUGAAACAUCUAAGUACCCCGAGGAAAAGAAAUCAACCGAGAUUCCCCCAGUAGCGGCGAGCGAACGGGGAGGAGCCCAGAGUCUGAAUCAGUUUGUGUGUUAGUGGAAGCGUCUGGAAAGUCGCACGGUACAGGGUGAUAGUCCCGUACACCAAAAUGCACAGGCUGUGAACUCGAUGAGUAGGGCGGGACACGUGACAUCCUGUCUGAAUAUGGGGGACCAUCCUCCAAGGCUAAAUACUCCUGACUGACCGAUAGUGAACCAGUACCGUGAGGGAAAGGCGAAAAGAACCCCGGCGAGGGGAGUGAAAUAGAACCUGAAACCGUGUACGUACAAGCAGUGGGAGCACCUUCGUGGUGUGACUGCGUACCUUUUGUAUAAUGGGUCAGCGACUUAUAUUUUGUAGCAAGGUUAACCGAAUAGGGGAGCCGUAGGGAAACCGAGUCUUAACUGGGCGUCUAGUUGCAAGGUAUAGACCCGAAACCCGGUGAUCUAGCCAUGGGCAGGUUGAAGGUUGGGUAACACUAACUGGAGGACCGAACCGACUAAUGUUGAAAAAUUAGCGGAUGACUUGUGGCUGGGGGUGAAAGGCCAAUCAAACCGGGAGAUAGCUGGUUCUCCCCGAAAGCUAUUUAGGUAGCGCCUCGUGAACUCAUCUUCGGGGGUAGAGCACUGUUUCGGCUAGGGGGCCAUCCCGGCUUACCAAACCGAUGCAAACUCCGAAUACCGAAGAAUGUUAUCACGGGAGACACACGGCGGGUGCUAACGUCCGUCGUGAAGAGGGAAACAACCCAGACCGCCAGCUAAGGUCCCAAAGUCAUGGUUAAGUGGGAAACGAUGUGGGAAGGCACAGACAGCCAGGAUGUUGGCUUAGAAGCAGCCAUCAUUUAAAGAAAGCGUAAUAGCUCACUGGUCGAGUCGGCCUGCGCGGAAGAUGUAACGGGGCUAAACCAUGCACCGAAGCUGCGGCAGCGACACUUAGGUGUUGUUGGGUAGGGGAGCGUUCUGUAAGCCGUUGAAGGUGACCUGUGAGGGUUGCUGGAGGUAUCAGAAGUGCGAAUGCUGACAUAAGUAACGAUAAUGCGGGUGAAAAACCCGCACGCCGGAAGACCAAGGGUUCCUGUCCAACGUUAAUCGGGGCAGGGUGAGUCGACCCCUAAGGCGAGGCUGAAAAGCGUAGUCGAUGGGAAACAGGUUAAUAUUCCUGUACUUGGUGUUACUGCGAAGGGGGACGGAGAAGGCUAGGCUGGCCGGGCGACGGUUGUCCCGGUUUAAGCGUGUAGGGGGAGUGACCAGGUAAAUCCGGUUGCUUAUCAACCCUGAGGCGUGAUGACGAUGCACCACGGUGCAGAAGCAGUUGAUGCCAUGCUUCCAGGAAAAGCCUCUAAGCAUCAGGUAACAUUAAAUCGUACCCCAAACCGACACAGGUGGUCAGGUAGAGAAUACUCAGGCGCUUGAGAGAACUCGGGUGAAGGAACUAGGCAAAAUGGUGCCGUAACUUCGGGAGAAGGCACGCUGGCGUUAGGUGAAAGGACUAGCUCCUGGAGCUGAAGCCAGUCGCAGAUACCAGCUGGCUGCAACUGUUUAAUAAAAACACAGCACUGUGCAAACACGAAAGUGGACGUAUACGGUGUGACGCCUGCCCGGUGCUGGAAGGUUAAUUGAUGGGGUCAGCCGCAAGGCGAAGCUCUUGAUCGAAGCCCCAGUAAACGGCGGCCGUAACUAUAACGGUCCUAAGGUAGCGAAAUUCCUUGUCGGGUAAGUUCCGACCUGCACGAAUGGCGUAAUGAUGGCCAGGCUGUCUCCACCCGAGACUCAGUGAAAUUGAACUCGCUGUGAAGAUGCAGUGUACCCGCGGCAAGACGGAAAGACCCCGUGAACCUUUACUAUAGCUUGACACUGAACAUUGAGCCUUGAUGUGUAGGAUAGGUGGGAGGCCUUGAAGUGUGGACGCCAGUCUGCAUGGAGCCAACCUUGAAAUACCACCCUUUAAUGUUUGAUGUUCUAACUCGGCCCCAUGAUCUGGGGUGAGGACAGUGUCUGGUGGGUAGUUUGACUGGGGCGGUCUCCUCCCAAAGAGUAACGGAGGAGCACGAAGGUUAGCUAAUCACGGUCGGACAUCGUGAGGUUAGUGCAAAGGCAUAAGCUAGCUUGACUGCGAGAGUGACGGCUCGAGCAGGUACGAAAGUAGGUCUUAGUGAUCCGGUGGUUCUGAAUGGAAGGGCCAUCGCUCAACGGAUAAAAGGUACUCCGGGGAUAACAGGCUGAUACCGCCCAAGAGUUCAUAUCGACGGCGGUGUUUGGCACCUCGAUGUCGGCUCAUCACAUCCUGGGGCUGAAGUAGGUCCCAAGGGUAUGGCUGUUCGCCAUUUAAAGUGGUACGCGAGCUGGGUUUAGAACGUCGUGAGACAGUUCGGUCCCUAUCUGCCGUGGGCGUUGGAAGAUUGAGAGGGGCUGCUCCUAGUACGAGAGGACCGGAGUGGACGAAUCACUGGUGUUCGGGUUGUCAUGCCAAUGGCAUUGCCCGGUAGCUAAAUUCGGAAGAGAUAACCGCUGAAAGCAUCUAAGCGGGAAACUUGCCUCGAGAUGAGUCUUCCCUGGGGCUUAAAGCCCCCUGAAGGAACGUUAAAGACUAUGACGUUGAUAGGCUGGGUGUGUAAGUGCAGCGAUGUAUUGAGCUAACCAGUACUAAUGAUCCGUGAGGCUUAACCUUACAACACCGAAGGUGUUU
rnacentral:rRNA from 1 species